rnacentral:rRNA from 1 species
AGAGUUUGAUCCUGGCUCAGGAUGAACGCUGGCGGCGUGCCUAACACAUGCAAGUCGAACGGAAUUUACAUGAAGCCUAGCGAUUGUAAAUUUAGUGGCGGACGGGUGAGUAACGCGUGGGUAACCUGCCUUGUACUGGGGGACAACAGUUGGAAACGACUGCUAAUACCGCAUAAGCGCACAGCUUCGCAUGAAGCAGUGUGAAAAACUCCGGUGGUACAAGAUGGACCCGCGUCUGAUUAGCUGGUUGGUGAGGUAACGGCCCACCAAGGCGACGAUCAGUAGCCGGCCUGAGAGGGUGAACGGCCACAUUGGGACUGAGACACGGCCCAAACUCCUACGGGAGGCAGCAGUGGGGAAUAUUGCACAAUGGGGGAAACCCUGAUGCAGCGACGCCGCGUGAGCGAAGAAGUAUUUCGGUAUGUAAAGCUCUAUCAGCAGGGAAGAAAAUGACGGUACCUGACUAAGAAGCCCCGGCUAACUACGUGCCAGCAGCCGCGGUAAUACGUAGGGGGCAAGCGUUAUCCGGAUUUACUGGGUGUAAAGGGAGCGUAGACGGAGCGGCAAGUCUGAUGUGAAAACCCGGGGCUCAACCCCGGGACUGCAUUGGAAACUGUUGAUCUGGAGUGCCGGAGAGGUAAGCGGAAUUCCUAGUGUAGCGGUGAAAUGCGUAGAUAUUAGGAGGAACACCAGUGGCGAAGGCGGCUUACUGGACGGUAACUGACGUUGAGGCUCGAAAGCGUGGGGAGCAAACAGGAUUAGAUACCCUGGUAGUCCACGCCGUAAACG